rnacentral:rRNA from 1 species
AUUGAACGCUGGCGGCAGGCUUAACACAUGCAAGUCGAGCGGGGAAAAGUAGCUUGCUACUGGACCUAGCGGCGGACGGGUGAGUAAUGCUUAGGAAUCUGCCUAUUAGUGGGGGACAACAUCUCGAAAGGGAUGCUAAUACCGCAUACGUCCUACGGGAGAAAGCAGGGGACCUUCGGGCCUUGCGCUAAUAGAUGAGCCUAAGUCGGAUUAGCUAGUUGGUGGGGUAAAGGCCUACCAAGGCGACGAUCUGUAGCGGGUCUGAGAGGAUGGUCCGCCACACUGGGACUGGGACCAGGGCCAGACUCCUACGGGAGGCAGCAGUGGGGAAUAUUGGACAAUGGGGGGAACCCUGAUCCAGCCAUGCCGCGUGUGUGAAGAAGGCCUUUUGGUUGUAAAGCACUUUAAGCGAGGAGGAGGCUACCGAGAUUAAUACUCUUGGAUAGUGGACGUUACUCGCAGAAUAAGCACCGGCUAACUCUGUGCCAGCCGCCGCGGUAACAC